UCCCAUUUUAAAGAAUAUUCGCCUAGCAGCAGUGAGAAAACCUAGAUGUUAAAAGCCUCACUCCAUCAUGUAUUAGCAAAUUGACCUUCUUAAAAUACCACAGCCUAAGGGCAAAGGUAAUGACUUUUAUCAAAUAUUAUACUUCUCUUACUACCUACCAGACACUUUAUACCUUUAAAGUAGAAUUUCUCAACCUCACAUUACUGGUAAUUUGGGCCAGAUAAUUCUUUGUUGUGAGAGGGACAUACUCUACACAGUAGUAGGGUUGUAUAGCAGUAUCCCUGGGCUCUACCAACCAGAGGCCAAGAGCAUCCUUCCCAUAUCCAUCUCCCAGCUGUGACCACCAAAAGAUGUCUCCAGACACUGCCAAAGGCCCAGACAAGGUGGGAGGAGGUCACUCCCAGUUGGCAACCAAUAUUCUGAAAACACCUCACCUCUACUUCUAACAAACCUAAAAACUACCUACGAGGAUCUUUACCACCAUGACGGAGAUGUGGAAAACAGGGUUCGCUACCGUUAAGCAACGUAUCUUUUAUUACACAAUUGAUAAGUGGCCGAGCAAGGAGUGAAGCUAGACUUUAGCUAACUGACUCCCAAGUCCAUGCUCUACCAUAUCACACUGCUUUUCUAAACUUACUGUCUCAUCUACAUAAUCAGAAUAAUAUUUGCCAUGUUGAGCUAUUUAGGAUUUACAGAUCAAAUGAGAUAAUGUAUGUAUAAAUUCUAUCAACCUAAAGAAAAUAACACAUUAAGGAUUUGUUUGAUUGAAGAUACCAUAACACGAUGGUUCACGAAGUGUGAUUCCCCGGGCCAUGGGAACUUCUUAAAAAUACAAAUUCUCAGGCUCCAGCCCAGACCUAAUGAAUCACAAAUUCUCAGGGUAGGACAAGUAAUCUCCGGUUUUACAAGCCCUCCAGGUUACUCUGACACCCUCUCAAAUUUGAGAGCUACUGAUAUAAUGAGGGAAAAUACUGCACCAAGAGGCUAAAAUCUCUACAUCCUUCUUUGGACUCCAUGUCUACUGGCCCUUAACAAGCUACCGAUUCUUACUGGAACUAGGAUUCCU
rnacentral:lncRNA from 1 species